AUCUUCAACACUCUGUGUUGCCUUAAUAUUCCAUAUUCAGUUCUCACCAAGAUAAUCAAUCGAUAAUGAAUAAAUGCAAAAGCCCCACUUGAAAUGAAGUGCAAAAGUUACAUAAGAGUACACUCGUCUGUUGGCCAACAAACACACAACAAGUAUACCUGUAAGAGGGGGAAGGGGAUAUAUGUACAUACAUAUGUGUGUAUAACUGAUGCGGCGGUACAAAUUCUCAAGCCGAUCUCGAUUGCGAUUGUCGAUGUGCCCUCUCCCUCCCCAUGCCCUGAGCCCUGUGACCCCCUUGUGUUACGCCAACCGCAAAUGAUUGGAUAAGUCUGUCUCCCCCGUCCGCAUCCGAAUUUAAAUCCGUCAAGUCGAUGUCCGAUGUUCGAUUCCGAGUUCGAUGGCAAUCAGCUGUUGACGUUGACUUAGUGACUGGGCUGAACGAUGGACUUUUGAGUAUCGUUACAAGCAAAUAUAAAGAAAUUAA